AAAUUAUUAAUAUUUAUGAUGAUAAGCGGUUAUUUAGGCACUAUGUUGACACAAAAAUUGUCCUUGGCCCUCUCUUUAAGUUUCUACAAGCUAUUAUAUAGAAUACAGAGAAAUGUUUUUCUCUUUCUAUGUACCCUCUCUUUCUUUCUCUCUUGCUCUCUUUAUCGCUCCUUAUUAUCAUCUUUAUUGCUAUGGUAGCGUCGGUGGUUCGGUUAUUUAGUUAAUUUAAAGAACUGAGAUAAAAACUUUGAGCAAUGACAUCUAGUCUUGAUUUUUUAAACUAAUUAUUUACACUAUAGGAAGUGGAUGAUGACGUCGGUUUAAUCUAACAAGUUUUAUGAUAUAUAGAAAUUAUUAACUUUGAUCAUAUUCAAACGAUGCAAGUUUAUGUUUUCAAACAGCCAUAAACAAUUAAAAUAAUAGUUUCAAUUAUUUUUUAUCUAAUUAGUUUAUUUUAUUAAUAAUUGGCAAUGCAACAGUGAUACCAACCAAUUAAAAACUGCAUUCAUACUGGACUGAUCGAUUAUGCCCGGAAAUUUGAUGAAAAUUGGCGCGCAAAUACAAAGAGUUAUAAAAAUAACAAUUUACAAUACAAAAUACAACAGCUUGCGCCCAUCCAGCCAGUGGUCCCCACUUGGUGCGUAAAUGGCGACUGAUUUCUUGAUACAUCGUCGGAGUUAACGAUGAAACUUCUUUUAAAUCAGAAGUUAUAACGUUCGGAAAAAGGUGGAAUAGCCCGAUAACAGUGAUCAUGUCGUCUGCAACAUCUAUCAACGCUGUUCAAGCCCCCAA